rnacentral:rRNA from 1 species
CCUACGGGGGACUGCAGUGAGGAAUAUUGCUCAAUGGGCGCGACCCUGACCCAGCAAAGCCGCGUGAAGGAUGACUGCCCUCCGGGUUGUAAACUUCUUUUAUAAAGGCAUAUAGUGAGGCACGUGUGCCUUUUUGUUUGUACUUUAUGAAUACGGAUCGGCUAACUCCGUGUCAGCAGCCGCGGUAAUACGGAGGAUCCGAGCGUUAUCCGGAUUUAUUGGGUGUAAAGGGAGCGUAGAUGGGUUGUUAAGUCAGUUGUGAAAGUUUGCGGCGUAACCGGAAAAUUGCAAUUGAUACUGGCAGUCUUGAGUACAGGUGAGGUAGGCGGAAUUCGUGGUGUAGCGGUGAAAUGCGUAGAUAUCACGAAGAACUCCGAUGGCGAAGGCAGCUUACUAAACUGCAACUGACAUUGAGGCGCGAAAGUGUGGGGAGCAAACAGGAUUAGAUACCCCUGUAGUC